rnacentral:rRNA from 1 species
AUGGAUCAAAAUCUUAAAAUCAUAUUCUAGAAUGUCUGUGGGCUAAAUUGUCGUGCCAAGCGUACCGCAAUCCGGACAGUGAUCUCUGCUGCCACUCCUUGCAUUGUGUGCCUCUCUAAGACCAAGUUGGAUUAGGUCACGCCCGCGGUCAUCCUCAAGACGCUCGACUCCCUCUUUACUGGCCUGUACUGGCUGCCGGCCGCAGGAACGAGGGGUGGCAUUCUCCUCGUGUGGCGACCC